GGGCUCCCCAUUCGACCCGUCUU
rnacentral:snRNA from 1 species